rnacentral:rRNA from 1 species
UGGGCGGCGAGCGGCGGACGGGUGAGUAAUGCCUGGGAAAUUGCCCUGAUGUGGGGGAUAACCAUUGGAAACGAUGGCUAAUACCGCAUGAUAGCUUCGGCUCAAAGAGGGGGACCUUCGGGCCUCUCGCGUCAGGAUAUGCCCAGGUGGGAUUAGCUAGUUGGUGAGGUAAGGGCUCACCAAGGCGACGAUCCCUAGCUGGUCUGAGAGGAUGAUCAGCCACACUGGAACUGAGACACGGUCCAGACUCCUACGGGAGGCAGCAGUGGGGAAUAUUGCACAAUGGGCGCAAGCCUGAUGCAGCCAUGCCGCGUGUAUGAAGAAGGCCUUCGGGUUGUAAAGUACUUUCAGCAGUGAGGAAGGAGGUAUCGUUAAUAGCGGUAUCUUUUGACGUUAGCUGCAGAAGAAGCACCGGCUAACUCCGUGCCAGCAGCCGCGGUAAUACGGAGGGUGCGAGCGUUAAUCGGAAUUACUGGGCGUAAAGCGCAUGCAGGUGGUUUGUUAAGUCAGAUGUGAAAGCCCGGGGCUCAACCUCGGAAUUGCAUUUGAAACUGGCAGGCUAGAGUACUGUAGAGGGGGGUAGAAUUUCAGGUGUAGCGGUGAAAUGCGUAGAGAUCUGAAGGAAUA